GACGAACGCUGGCGGCGUGCUUAAUACAUGCAAGUCGAACGGAAAGGCCCUGCUCUUGUGGGGUGCUCGAGUGGCGAACGGGUGAGUAACACGUGUGUAACCUGCCCUUGACUGUGGGAUAACUUCAGGAAACUGGGUCUAAUAUCGGAUAUGAGCUCCUGCUGCAUGGUGGGGGUUGGAAAGUUUCGGCGGUUGGGGAUGGACUCGCUGCUUAUCAGCUUGUUUGUGGGGUAGUGGCUUACCAAGGCUUUGACGGGUAGCCGGCCUGAGAGGUUGACCGGCGACCAUAGGACUGAGAUACGCACCAGACUCCAACGGGAGGCAGCGGUGGAAAGUAUUACGGAGUGGGGGCGAGUCUGUUGCAGAGGCGCUGCGAGCGGAAUGACGGGCUUCUGGUUGUGAACCGCUUUCGACUGUGACGAAGCGUGAGUGACGGUAAUGGGUAAAGAAGCAACGGCUAACUACGUG
rnacentral:rRNA from 1 species